GUCUAAAAUUUAAAUGUAAUUGAAUAAGUUCAAGCAAAUAGGCUAUUUGAAAAAUGACCAAAUCUACCCAUCCCUAUUAAAUAUGCACCAGCCGCCCAACCCAAUAAAAAACAAUAACUAAAAUAGGUCCAAAACCAAAAACCCACACCAGGCCCACUCUAAAAUUGCUGACUCGGCCCACCCUUCCUAUUUCCAUCUCCUUCAGCAAAAUAGCGAACAAAAACAACAGCAACUCGUGCAAUACUCUAUAUCAAAAAACAAACAAUACGUGAACAGCAAUGAUAGCAACGCACCCAACAAUUCUGAUCCAACUAGCCCCGACCCAGCAAAUCUCAACCCAAUCCCUACCUUCAAACCCCGACCUCAUCAUCUCCAUCUCUUUUCAAUGCAAAAAGGUGUGCAUGGUAGCACUAGAAGCUACACGAAACUUCUAGAAAGUGGCUAGCUAGCAUCCAGGUCAGGAUUCAAGGGAAUAUUCCACAAAAAAAUUGAUUCAAACCAUUGGAAUUGUAUCAUGAAGGUCUAAAAAGCUGCUUCCAAUGGUGGAAGAUUUUGACGAAGAUCGAGGUCUCAUUUUUUCCCCAAAAUUGGUUAGGUUUUUAUUCCUCCUUAUACUAUCGUGUUGUAAUAGUUAUAGCAGUAGUAUUUUUGAUUAUUGCAAUGUAUGUUGGGAAUUAUUUCUUGUAGAGGCCUUAAAGGUCAUAGGAUUGGUUGCGAUGAUGUUCUGGUUACGAUAUUUCUAUAAUUUAAAUCUCAUUCUAUGUUAUUUGUAAGUUGUUAACUUGAAAAGUUUAUAUUCUGUGUGUUUAAGCUAUUUCUUUUUUCUACUGUGUAUUUUUCUAAAAUAUGAGCUUUUAAAAAUAUCUUUUUCCUUCGUCUUGCUCUACAAAUGUGAAUAGCGUGUUGAUCGAGGAAUUAGUUGAGUUGAGUUUUAUACCUUGAUCUAGUCAAAUUCUUAAGUUAAAAAUUGCACCUUGAUGAAGUUUUGCAUGGGGUAUGCUUUUAAUCUGUUUCAUUUCACUCAUAAUUGUUCGGUCGUCUCUUGCUAGGUGUCGUUCAUUUUCUGUUGAUAUUUAGCUACUCAAAUAGUUAGCCUAGAAUAGUGUGAGUUCUAUAUCCUCUCGGUUGAUAUUUUACGAAAGGCAUUUUGAUAUUUUACGAAAGGCAUUUUGAUUUUUAUGCAUGUUUAGUCUAGCUCAUCUUCUUCACUUUCUUGAUAAAGUGGACUCUUCACCAUGUCUUCUUUGACUCAUAAUGUCAAAAGGAAAUAGUGGAGUUUAUCCUCCAAAAAUGUUAAGUCAAUCUUUUAAAAUGUACAUUUUGAGUAUUUUUUCUGACCUCGUCUAUCACGAUUGUGAUUUUCUUUGAUAAGUUGAAUAGCCUAUGGAUGGUUUAACGAUGACAAAUCUCUCUUUAUCUCUCGUAAUGGUCAACAUCAAAGCUUGAAAUUUUGUCCUAAAUGAAUAUGUUUUAAAGAUGAGUUUAUAAUGUGUUGUCGUAUAGGUGAACCAAAAGAGAUAUUAUUGGGGUACCUAUUUGGAAGCAAAGACCGGAUCUUCUUCACUUCCAUAGUUCUUUGGAACUGCAUUUUAUUCUAUUGUAACUUAAGUGUGGAAGUUACUAUAUAAUAAAGGUGUUAAAAAUAUUGGUCCUUAACGUCUGCAAAUAUUAUGCUUGGACAUCACUCUUAAUUUCCUUUAAUCAAUAAUACAGAAUCUUAUAUAUAUGUCUAUAAAGUUGACUUUUCUACCAUUGAGCAGCUUCCUUGGUCUUUUUCUGUGGUAUCUGAAAUUAAAGUAGUGAGUUGAUUUUCCUCUCAAAUUUGAUUUUCUUCGUGUAUUUCAUUGAAUAACCUGGUUUAGCCCUUUCUGAAAAAUUUUGUGAUUAUGUUUGUACAAUAUAUAAUUAAAAAUAGUUGAAAUUUUGUCAAACAAGUUUCUUAACUCUACCUCUAAUUAAAGUGGCACUUGAUUUGUUUAUCUAUCUGAGACAUAGUUAUGAGUUUGGUUGUCGGUGCUCUCCUCUUGUUUUUCCUUCUUUUGGUGCGACACGGUUGUUUAAUCUUCGUAAAUGACAUGUUAGUCUAAUGAGAUUUUUCCCAUGUUGAUUUUCUUGUCGAAUUGAUUCAUUCGCACCUUGGUCCCUACCUUAUUCAAUCUUGUUCUUGUGUACUAUCUGAAAUACAAAAUGGUUGGCUUCACUUACUGAGAAUGUUGAAUUUUCUUAUAUCAUUUGUUUUCCUUAGUUACCUAAAUCCCAAAAUAACAUAUUUUUUAGUAUUUAAGUUUGCCAAAGUAUUCUUAUAGCAACUUAUUAGUUAUUCUAGAAUGAAAAAAGAGAGAUUAUAGACUAAUAUGGAAAUUUGGCACUUGUCAAAAUACUUUUCUAUUUCUUUAUGUGUGUGAAUAUUUUUUUAAUCAUUUAUCUAUUAGGUAUCAACUGUUGAAUAUAGGUUGAGUUCUUUACUUCUUUCUUUGCAUUCCGGAUAUGUGUUAAUUUCGUUUCUUUCCUCUUUUGCAUGUGAAUAUAUUUUUGGAGUCCAAAUGAACUCCUUCCAUCCAGAUUUCAUAAAGGGCCAAUGUGGCCUAUUUCUUUGAGUCGGCUAUCUUUGGAGAAAGAAGGAGUUACCAUGAAAAGAAGAAAGAUGGGUCAAAACUCAUUAAUGAAGUUUUCAAGAGACUUGAAAAGUCUCAUAUUUUACCUGUCUUAGUUAUUUCUUUAUUUAUUUCUUGAAUCAUUCAUUUGGGCCUCGAAACGAAAGUUCUAAAAUUAAUAGAGACGAAACAGAUUUUGGGCCAAAAGGUCCAAAAAUAUAGUUUAAGAUAGGUUAUGGGCCAAAAGCCCAAUAUUUAGAUUAGAAUAGGUGAUGAUGGGCUAAAAACCUAAAUGAAUAGUUUAGGAUAGGUGCAAGUGGUCCAAAAUCCCAAUUAGAUUAGGACAGGAUUGAUGGAUUUAGGCUUAUGAGCCCAAGUCUUCUAAUUCUCCCCUUUCCCCUUUAAGUGCCAUUUGAUUUUA